rnacentral:rRNA from 1 species
UGCAUGCAAGUCGAGCGAAGCUUUUCAGUAGUUUACUACAGAAAAUGACUGAGCGGCGAACGGGUGAGUAACGCGUGAGCAAUCUACCUUAGUUACAGGGAUAGCCCGAGGAAACUCGGAUUAAUACCUGAUAUUCUUUAAAUUUCGCAUGAAAUUAAAAGGAAAGGUCAGCCGAACUAAGAUGAGCUCGCGUUCUAUCAGCUAGUUGGUGAGGUAAAAGCUCACCAAGGCAACGACGGAUAGCUGGUCUGAGAGGACGAUCAGCCACACUGGGACUGAGACACGGCCCAGACUCCUACGGGAGGCUGCAGCAGGGAAUAUUGCGCAAUGAGCGAAAGCUUGACGCAGCGACACCGCGUGUGGGAUGACGGAUCUAGGUUUGUAAACCACUUUCAGGAGGGAAGAAAAUGACGGUACCUCCACAAGAAGCCCCGGCCAACUACGUGCCAGCAGCCGCGGUAAUACGUAGGGGGCGAGCGUUGUCCGGAUUUAUUGGGCGUAAAGAGCUCGUAGGCGGUUCAACAAGUCGGUCGUAAAAGUUCAGGGCUCAACCCUGAAAUGUCGAUCGAUACUGUUGUGACUAGGAUACGGUAGAGGUGAGUGGAAUUCCGAGUGUAGCGGUGAAAUGCGUAGAUAUUCGGAGGAACACCAAUUGCGAAGGCAGCUCACUGGGCCGCUAUCGACGCUGAGGAGCGAAAGCUAGGGGAGCAAACAGGGUUAGAUACCCUGGUAGUCCUAGCUGUAAACGAUGGAUACUAGACGUAGGAACUGGAUUGACGGUUUCUGUGUCGUAGCUAACGCGUUAAGUAUCCCGCCUGGGGAGUACGGUCGCAAGACUAAAACUCAAAGGAAUUGACGGGACCCCGCACAAGCGGCGGAGCAUGCGGCUUAAUUCGAUGAUACCCGUAGAACCUUACCU